rnacentral:rRNA from 1 species
CUCUUCCCAUCCCGAACAGAGAAGUUAAGCCCGUUAGCGCCGAUGGUACUGCCGACAGGUGGGAGAGUAGGUCGAUGCUGAAU